CAGCAGCCGCGGUAAUACGUAGGGUGCGAGCGUUAAUCGGAAUUACUGGGCGUAAAGCGUGCGCAGGCGGUUGUGUAAGACAGAUGUGAAAUCCCCGGGCUUAACCUGGGAACUGCGCUUGUGACUGCACAGCUAGAGUAUGGCAGAGGGGGGUGGAAUUCCACGUGUAGCAGUGAAAUGCGUAGAGAUGUGGAGGAACACCGAUGGCGAAGGCAGCCCCCUGGGCCAAUACUGACGCUCAUGCACGAAAGCGUGGGGAGCAAACAGGAUUAGAUACCCGAGUAGUCCCUGUCUCUUAUAU
rnacentral:rRNA from 1 species